AGUGAACGCUGGCGGUAGGCCUAACACAUGCAAGUCGAACGGCAGCACAGUAAGAGCUUGCUCUUACGGGUGGCGAGUGGCGGACGGGUGUGGAAUACAUCGGAAUCUACUUUUUCGUGGGGGAUAACGUAGGGAAACUUACGCUAAUACCGCAUACGACCUACGGGUGAAAGCAGGGGAUCUUCGGACCUUGCGCGAUUGAAUGAGCCGAUGUCGGAUUAGCUAGUGGGCGGGGUAAAGGCCCACCAAGGCGACGAUCCGUAGCUGGUCUGAGAGGAUGAUCAGCCACACUGGAACUGAGACACGGUCCAGACUCCUACGGGAGGCAGCAGUGGGGAAUAUUGGACAAUGGGCGCAAGCCUGAUCCAGCCAUACCGCGUGGGUGAAGAAGGCCUUCGGGUUGUAAAGCCCUUUUGUUGGGAAAGAAAAGCAGCAGGUUAAUACCCCGCUGUUCUGACGGUACCCAAAGAAUAAGCACCGGCUAACUUCGUG
rnacentral:rRNA from 1 species